CCCUUAGAUGUUCUGGGCUGCACGCGUGCUACACUGAUAUUGCCAAUAUGUCAUUCUUAUCCGAAAUGGAUUGGGUAAUCAAGUAAUGAAAUUUCAUGCUUGGAAUCGGUAAUUGCAAUUUUAUCGUGAACGAGGAAUUCCUAGUAAGCACUAGUCAUCAGCUAAUGUUGAUUAUGUCCCUGCCCUUUGUACACACCGCCCGUCGCUCCUACCGAUUGAAUGUUCCGAUGAAUACCAUGGACUGAGAGUAUGAAUGGGUUCGCCUAUUUCUGCUUCUCGGGAAGUGGAGUAAAUCUUAACAUUUAGAGGAAGGAGAAGUCGUAACA
rnacentral:rRNA from 1 species